GGGGCGCGCGGGGAAGCCCGGGCAGCCGGCGCCCCAGGCUCCUGGGCCCGGGUUCCCGGAACGCCCUGCCCGCGCCUCCUGCCCUCAGCCUGUCUGUCCCAUGCAAGUUGCACCAACUAAACCAUUUUAUUUAUUCUGGCCUAGAUUCCGCGUUUUCCCAUGAACGUGUUAAGUAGCCUCUGCAAGACUGUUACGGGCUUCCCAUUGGGAGAGAGCACGUAUAUUGGAGACCAGAGGGCCAAAUUCUCAGAGCACACAAGCAUUUAAACUUCUGGGUGGGGAUGCCGAAGGACUUAAUUGGAGACGUUGCAACGAUGGAUGAAGAGCUCAUUUUAUACCCCAGCUAGGAGGAUCUGUCGUUCCUUCGUCUCCGGAAAGAAAAAAAAAAAAGGAAAACAAAGCAAUUAAAAAGAUUGACAGGUAUGGUUUGUGAGAGACCUAUUUGUAAUUGUCAGGGUGACGUUGGCGAGAGGAGGAGGAGUAAAAACUGAAGCAGGAAAAGCAGCUCGAUGUGUCUGUCUAUCAGUUGAGACUGUCUGAAAGCUCUGCGAUCCGAAUGUGUGUUAUAUUUCACUGAAAAGAGAAGAGAGCGAGAGUGCAUCUCCCUCUCUCCCAGGAGUUUGGGGGGGACAGUCCACGCUCAUCUCGCCCACCCCUGAAUGUCCGCUCUUCGCCCCUCUGCACACGCUCUCCGGGUUGUUGUUGUCGCCUCUUUUUUUUUUUUUUCCGGAGGGGGGGUGCUUUUUGUGUAUUUUUCAAAAUUUUCCUGUCGGAAGAUCAAGACCGGCCAAAAAUCCAUGAUCCAAAUGUGUUUGCGUUAAUCUGGCAGUGGAAGGAGCGGCGGUCCGGCGGCGGGGCCCCGCGGGGAGCGCGAGGCGCGAGCGGCGCGCCGGCGGGGCGACCCUGUUCGACUAAGUGCGGGAGGAAAGGACAGCCUGGAUCGGCCUCGCUGGCGCACAAUGAGAAAGCUGCGACCCGCGCACUGAGCCCACUCGCCGCGACCCCGAGCAGCGAGGAGCGAGGGGGAGAGAAAGUUGCGCUCGGAGACUCCCGGCUCGCGGAGGAAGGCGCAGGGCCGCGCCCGCC
rnacentral:lncRNA from 1 species